GGGAAAACGUAAGUCUAGAAGCUUUGCUCUAAGACUUAAGGAAGGACAGCACCAAAACUGGAGUUACCUAAUAAAAGGCUAUUGUGACAUCAAAGUCUACACAACCAAAUAAGUGGUUCUUCAUCGUUGUUCCUUUGGGAGACUAUCUUAUAUUUCAACGAUGCAACCACUGAUUGAAAACAUUUUUGGGACGCCUCUUUUGAAACUGUCUAGAGAAUCCAUUUUAUGGCUGGACGCGGUGGCUGACACCUGUAAUCCCAGUACCUUGGGAGGCCAAGGUAGUAUAUUUGUCCCAUUUUCAUCAAAUAGCAGCUACCAAAGGCACCUUUCAAAAACCUCCAGGAAUAAUCCUGCUCCAUAACAUGGAAUCUGUAUUGCUUUCUGAUCAUAUUCAGGGAAUCCAAAUACUGGCCUCUUGCCUACAAUUGAUAACUUUGUCACAAAAACUUCCAUAAUGUUAUUAUUAUCAUUAAAGAGAUAAAAUAAUUUCCAAAGUUAAUCUGUCUGAUUAUUAAAAUAAUCUAAAUAAUCUAAAUUGCUAUAAUUUUGCUUACACAU
rnacentral:lncRNA from 1 species